AGGCACCCGCCAAGCCUGGGCUGUCUACCACAGAGGAUGCACCCCAGGGGAUUGUGGGAAGUUCUGACCUCCCAGAGCUGGACAGGGAGAGCAGCAGCAUUGCCGAGGGUGCAGGAAGCAGCAGUGCUGGCUCAGAGUCUCAGAUAAGCCAUCACGCUCUGCCAGUGACCUCAGAUGGCCUGGUGACUAGGACUGGCAGAAAGCCCAAAGGCUUCUUAUCUUUCAUCUCUGACAAGAGCACCGCCCGGUCUGCUAGUGCUGCCCGCUCUUCCAGGCCUUCGUGUCCGAGGCCGCAGGUCAACACCUCCCGUACAGGGAGGAGAGCACCGACUGUGAGCCCACCACCAUCCAGAGCCACAGCUGCUAACAGCCAGACGGCCGCUAAGCUUGCUACCUCUCAAGCCACUACAUCAAGUCAAGAUGAGUCCUCUUCUGUUAAAACUUCAAAGACUGACGAAGAACCAACAAGCGUUUCUGAAUACUUCUUCAGUGACAUCUUCACACCAGUGGAAGAGCAUGAGUGAUCAAAAGGCAGGAGAAUGUUUGUGAUCUUUCAUCUGAGCAGGAUCCCUUAUUUGAGUCUUGUCCAUGCUAUCACACACACUUUAAUCUCAGUUUUUCCAGCUACCCAGUCUCACUGCCCAGUUCAGCUACCCACAGUAGACAUGAUUCAUAAGAACUGUAUUUUUAAUAACAUGCUUGGAAAGAAAAUGGAUGUGAACUCUCAGAUUGUCCACUCUGACUACGUUCUGCACUCCUGUUUGUCCCAAGUUUGUCCUAACAUUUUCAUUGCGUGUAUUUAUUUUUAUGCUAUUAUGCUAUUUACCUUUUAUGGUAACCUACGCAGAAUGAUUUAGAUUAUUUACUUUUUACUUUAUCAUAAUUAUAUUUAUCUGUAGGGUGUGUUCACAUUAGACAGUUGAAUUACUAAGUCAUUAUUGGAUGACACAUGUUAAAUGUUAUUGCUGUCAGUGAUCAGAUGCACUGAAAACCUAUGGUUGAAUAUCACCAUAAAUGAUGAUUGGCUUACUGUAUGUGUGAAACAAAUUAAUUUAUUUGCAUUAGGUUAUAUUUCACUUUACAGAUUUAAACUAAACUCAGAUUUAAUCAAUUUUAGUCUGGGCAUUUUAUGUUUUUCAGGGGGUUCUAAUCUGUAGUGUUGAUCAUUAAAAGUACACUCACAUCGUAACAGUGGUCAGGGUAGCUACAUUAGUUUCUUGAUAUCUGUCUUUAAAAAUUUAUGUUACAUACAAAUUGAAUUACCUAAAGUUUAGAUGUGCUAGUCCCAAUAUCGGUACACAUUGUUCUUGUUAUUUCAGUGUCGACUGAAUAGAAAAGGCAAGGAGGCUAUCUUCUAGGAAUUCCUGUGUUUGUUAGCUGUAGGAAGUGUUUUAUUAAGAACAAAGCAUUGAACUGAACUUAACUGAACUGACUUUCAUUUAAUUGAAAACAGAAUUUUCAAUUCAUCCACCAAACCGAACAUUGUUUUCGUCAGCAAAGGCCUUACAUCUUUAUUCAGUCAGCUGUCUCAAAAAUAGCAGCCCAGCAGAAACACGCAUGAACUCUUGUUUUCUUACAAAUUAUGGUUUCAGCUCUUUUUAUAUGUAUAUACACUUGGGUAAAAGGAGGAUCAAAGUAAAUGCAGCUUUAAAAAGCAUUUCAGUAGCCAUUAUCAGUUAGCAUUUCCCAUUAUUUUUGAUUCUCAGGUCUGGAAUUUAUCACGUCAUUUCAAAGAACCACUCUGGUUUCUCCUUGUUUGAUUGUAAAUAUGUGAACACAGUAUUAUAUUUAUUCUUUGAAUUUCCCUAAACUUCACCAUAUUUUGUUGUACAGUAAGCACUGUUCAAUAAAUAUACAGAUGGACCCUGUGGUGAUGAUACUACUUCUGGCAUUGGCAUAUUUACGAAUAAGAAUAAGAUUAACUAACAGUAAUAUGUUUUAUUCAUAAAGCGCCUUUUUCAGACCCGAGGUCACACCACUCCAAAUUUUCAAAAAAGAAAUGUCUGUACAUGACAGUUCAGGGUAUAUUCAAACCAUUUUCUCACUUUUGUGCUUAAUUUUUAGGGUUGUCUUGAAUUGAGUUAGCUGUAAGAAAUUGCUUUGUUUUAGUACUAAAUUUACAUAACAUGUCAUUUACAUGCACCUUGUGAGAAAGAUAAUCUCAAAUAUUUAGAAGAGAUGGUUGAGUGUCAUACUUCAAGAAAAGAGAGCAUUAGGAGCUGACAACAGAUUUUUCAUGUUUAACUGUUUGAAUUUUUGUUUCAAGUUUCCAAAUACAGUUGUUCAAUAUCCCUUCUAUUGUAGAGGAGUAGUCUUAAAAUUGCAUAACUUAAAAUUACAUAAGCCAAUGAGUGGCAAUGUUUUUAUUUUGAUUUUGAUAACCUUUUAACAAAUAAAUAGAUUUUAGGUGAUAUAGUUUGUGUUUAAUGCCCUGUUGAUGUAUUGCCAAAUUUAAGUUUCUUUAUAUCCUGGAUUAAAUGAUCUUGUCACUGUACAGGGUGAUGUCUCUUAUCAGUCAGGCGGAAAAUCCAGGCACAGGGGAAUGUCAACUUGAUAUAUUUGCUUUGAUGAUGUUGUUCCUGUCUUUUCUUUUUGGCUACAUCACACCAUUACUGAAACUGCUGUAAAUGCAUUUCACUUUUAAAUUCUGGCAUCUGGUGAACAUCAUGCAUCCCCUGUUUUGUUGUACUUCAUUUGUACUCAAACUUAAUUGUUUAACUGUAAUUUAUGUAAAAUAUGUAAAUAAAUUUUAUACAGUUAUGGGUC